AGUAGGCAGGCUAGGGGUUGCAGUUUUCCCAGGCCUCUACACUUUAAAAGCCUCACACUCUUCACGUGCUGAUAAAUGGAGUGAGAGAAACCAAAAAAACCGUGCUGAUUGAGUUCACUACAAGUUUAUGCUAUCUAAUCUCAACAGGAUCCGCCAUGGCAGCCAGGAGUUGAAUGGGAAGCAGCACGGUAUUAACACUGGUCAGUGUCAUAGGCAUUUCCCAGAGGAUGGGGUUACCUUGGCUGUCCCCGUCCGCAUACUCCUAAUCUUCAGACAGGUUUCUGGAGUGCCUUUUUACACCUGAGCCAGGUGGGUGCUCGAGACCAGAGCCUGAUGGUUUCCUUGACCCCUGUAUCUUCAGUGAGGUACAACAGAAUGGGAGAAUCAAGUUGACAGUCUCCUCUCAACACUAUUGUGAAAAGACAUUAAAUUGAAACGGUUAUCUCUCUAGGAAGGUGAGAAGAAAGAAUACAAAGAGAAGCCCAGGUGAUGCAAACACAGGAAAUCAGUAAAAAUGUUUUAAAAAGAAUUUUCUCACCUGUACUACAUGGAUCACAUUAAAACAAUGGCUUCCAGCUUCCUAAUUGACUUGGAUGAGAAAACUUUCCAUGAGAAGACAACUGUUCUUCCUCAUCCUCCAUUGCUUCUCCCCCAUUCAGUCCCCUUAAAAGCUUACUUUUUGAGAAUAAUCAGAUAGCUUUGAAUUUUUCUUUUCCCUUUCUCCUUCCUUUCCUCCCUCCUUCCUCUCUCCCUCCUUCCUUUCUGGGAGGUCUGAUAGGUAUCUCUUAUGAUGACUUACAUCUAGUCCAGGAGUUAUUCAACUUUUUUUUAUAUCAUCGUCUCCUUGGCAAGUCUAGUAGAGUCUACAGAGACCUUCUCAGAUGAAUGAUUUUAAGUGCACAAAAUUAAACACAUGGGAUUUUAUUAUCGAGGAAAUUUAUUAUAUUGAAAUAUAGUUUUUGAAAUAUUAAAAAAAGUUCCCCAAUUCUUGCCUAUAGAACCCGUUUCAGAAUAGAUCUGAAUAAAUUGUUUGACACCUCCCUCA